rnacentral:rRNA from 1 species
CGGUUUGUCGCGUCUGCUGUGAAAUCCCGAGGCUCAACCUCGGGCCUGCAGUGGGUACGGGCAGACUAGAGUGCGGUAGGGGAGAUUGGAAUUCCUGGUGUAGCGGUGGAAUGCGCAGAUAUCAGGAGGAACACCGAUGGCGAAGGCAGAUCUCUGGGCCGUAACUGACGCUGAGGAGCGAAAGGGUGGGGAGCAAACAGGCUUAGAUACCCUGGUAGUCCACCCCGUAAACGUUGGGAACUAGUUGUGGGGUCCAUUCCACGGAUUCCGUGACGCAGCUAACGCAUUAAGUUCCCCGCCUGGGGAGUACGGCCGCAAGGCUAAAACUCAAAGGAAUUGACGGGGACCCGCACAAGCGGCGGAGCAUGCGGAUUAAUUCGAUGCAACGCGAAGAACCUUACCAAGGCUUGACAUAUACGAGAACGGGCCAGAAAUGGUCAACUCUUUGGACACUCGUAAACAGGUGGUGCAUGGUUGUCGUCAGCUCGUGUCGUGAGAUGUUGGGUUAAGUCCCGCAACGAGCGCAACCCUCGUUCUAUGUUGCCAGCACGUAAUGGUGGGAACUCAUGGGAUACUGCCGGGGUCAACUCGGAGGAAGGUGGGGAUGACGUCAAAUCAUCAUGCCCCUUAUGUCUUGGGCUUCACGCAUGCUACAAUGGCCGGUACAAAGGGCUGCAAUACCGUGAGGUGGAGCGAAUCCCAAAAAGCCGGUCCCAGUUCGGAUUGAGGUCUGCAACUCGAC